GCCUUCGCGGUUUAGAAAAAAUAACAAACCUCCCGCACGACCUCUCGCCCCCUCCUUCUCUCGAGUCGUUUGCCUCGCCGCCCCGCAACCUCCCGCAGCCGUUAGCCGGAGCCGCCCUUCGUCGCGGGAGCAGCCGCGGGAGCCGCUUGCCGCCGCUGCCGCUGCCGCUCGCCGCUGGAGGCGGCCGCCCCGCCCCACGCCCUUCGCCGCAGGGAGCCGCCGGAGCCGCCCGCCCUGGAGCUGCCGCGGGUUAUCGCUAGAGACGGAGCCGCCCCGCCCCGCGCCCUUUACCGCAGGGAGCCGCCGGAGCCACCCGCCCCUGGAGCCGCCGCGGGUUUCUUGGCUGCUGUACUUUCUUGGCUGCUGGACUUUAGUUUCCAGUCCAUUGGUUCAUCCCCAAAUCGUUGACCCAUGGUAAAACAGAAGGUGAACUGUUCAUUUCUUCUUCAUUCUAUAGAGACGGAGUGCCCUCGUACUCCAUUGAAGGCAAAAAAAGUGUUCAGGCGCAGGCCCAGAACCUGACAGACUCUUUGGUUGAAGCCAAAUCUAACAUUGUCGUUAGGGUUAGCUAUUAAAAUAUAUCUCACUCGAGCUACACUACCAAUCGUAGUUAAGGUUAGCUAUUCUCAGGGUUCUUUUUUCUGGAUGCUAGAAUAGUGGAACGAAACUAAGCACUACAACUACCUGAACUAUCUUCAUUAUUUGAUGACUGAAGUACAUCCUGAUUCAUAGGUAGUUCUAAUGCUCACACCCAGAAUUUAUUGCGCUCAUUUUAAUCUUCCGUUUUCAUGCCUAUUUAAGUAAGAAGAUGACUGUGACCAUAUAAUGGAGGGAGCUUGUCAAAUUUCAACUAAUAUUAAGCCUGAUAUCAAAGAGUUGGAAGUGCUUCUCGAAUCUUCGUCCAGGCUGAUGGCACACUGAACAAGUUAUGCCAUGUAUGUCCCAUCUUCUUUGAUUUUAUUUACUGCUUGUGAUUGGCCUAAUCGUACCUGUAGGACAUUAUUUUUAUUUUUCUUUGUGGGGAUUCAGUUAUUUAUUUACUUGCAGGGUUAAUUUUAUUAUUGCGCAAACCUGAUAUUCUUGUGUGCUGGAUUCAGUUCUUGACUUGCAUCUAUUCAAUUUUAUGUAUUGCUGUUCCUAGAAGGCACAUUUGAAGGAUGAGAAGGUGGCUAUUAAUAACUUUGAAAGAUGAGUUGAGUGACUUUUUUGCUUGCAUCAGGCAUACUUGAUUUCUGUGGAGAUAUAUGGUUAAUGCUCUACCGAAGUAUGUGCAUGCAAAGCAUAGUUUUAGAUUGGUUUGCAUUUGAUGGCAGAGUUGUUGGUAUUCGUAGCAUGACAACCUUCAGAUGUUGAUGCAAAAGGCAAGCGAUGCGUUACUUGGUGUGGUUUUCAUAUGGUCUAUUUAAUUAGCUUUUGUCUGAUGUCGUCAUGGUACAAAUCAUAAUUUUGCCAAAUGUAUUGCUUGAUACUGGUAGGGAACAUAAACACAUCUAUAUGAACUGUUUCAAGCUUUGCUUUGCUAUGUUAUUAACUUCCAAUAGCAUAUUACAUGAAAUAUUCAUUGCAUCUUAUUUUGCAGCCUGGUCCACUCACCAAAAAGGGGCAGCCCACGGUGUUUUUGUAGGGACCGCAAUGAAGCAAAGUAGAAUAUUGUAUUAGCUUGUAUCAAUAUUGUUUUUGCAGUACUUUUGCAUGCAGUAAUCUUGUUCGUGCCUUUGAAAGCGAGGAGAUCCAUCCAGACUGAAAGAAAUGCAGCAAGGAAGAUAUUUGCUAGAGAGAAACAUGUGCACUGCAGUUCUGUUGAGAGAGAUUAAGUCGGGUGCACAUUUGUUUGGGGAAUCUUAUGGGAAGUAGUGAAACUAUGAUAUGGAUGUUGAGGCGUCACCUAACAAUUGUGCUUUCGAGGGCCAACUUGCAUUUUCACGUCAAGCAUGGCUGAUUAUCAGAGGGCAAGGAAAGAUGGAGUAGCAGAAGCAUUGCCUAUGAUGAGUUGAUCGGCUCGAUAGCUGUCUGCCUUUGCCUACUUGGACGAGGACGACAACAGGUACAUGACAGUUGACCUGCUGGAAGAGGUGUGCUGGGAGUACAACAUACAAGCUGACGUCGGUAUCGUGACAUCAUCAAGGAGGUUGGCAAUGAGAACAUGCGUAUGAUGUUCAAAUUAACUAUGGGGGUUCGUGGCAAUGGUGAAGAAGGGGAUCAUUGGGAAUGGAAGUCUGACCAUCAUUCUCCAUGGAGCAGACGACCUCAGCUAGCCUUUGAUUGAAAUAUUCAUAUACAACACACUAUGUUUGUUCGCAUUGUGCUAUAGAUCAUAUCAAUAUUUUAAUCCAAAUUGUGUAAAAGAAAACUGAGGAUAACGAGUAUAUGAGAAGCGAGUAUAGGAGAAGCUUUAAUAUUAGAGUAACAGGGGAGGAGCAAAUGACUGAAGGGGCUAUCAGCCAUCUAAAAGAAAACUGAGGGUAACGUCACCAGGUGGAAAACUAUAUUUGAUUGACAUCAUAACACUAGCAAGGUGAAUAACAAUGUAGCUGCUGACAUUAUGAUGACCGAAGCUGUGGCCUGGAGCUCCUGACCCGUGACGGCCGGAAUAUUGACAGUGGCUGUGUGCAACGCCCUACUGAUAGGCCGGCGAGGUGCACGCACCAAAGUGUAAGUGCAGCCAGCCCACGUAGCGAAGAGACCUGCGGAAGACCACCGCCACCAUGCACCCGCACUACAUUCAGAGAUAUAAUUGUGUUGGGUCCUUUCCUGAUUGCUCCUGCGAACCACGGAAGAUCGUCGCCACCUUCCCCCCGUGCAACAUUCCGGGACAACCUUCCCCGACUGCCCUUGACUGGCUGCAUCGCGUGGAGCCGUGCCUGGGCUCGCGAGAGCCGCAGGAGGAUGCGCCACCGGGCUGGCCUGCUCGGCCACCGCCUCGUCUGCUGCUGUGUGCCACCUCCUCGACUCGAAGCUCCCUCACACCGCUCCACCAGCAAGAUGUCAGCUGUGAUUCCGGUGACGAGCCAUGGACGCCUAUCUUUGUGCCUCGCUCUGCUGCAUCCUCGGUGCUCCUCGACGCGGGUCAAGCACACGAGACGCCUGGGGGGCCGUCCCCUGACUCGCCGCUCUUCAUCCCUUUGCGUUCACCCCUCCUUCCAGCUCCAGGCUCUACACCACCCAGGCCACCCACGACAAGGAGGAAUACUCUUGUUGGAGUCACCAGCUUCAAUCUCGACAGGCGCAGCCCGUGUCUGCGUGCCAAGAAGAGGAGCAUGCCCAUUGCACAGCUUGAGAAAAGGCUCCUCUAACAGUAGAUGGGUGUUGUAGGAGAGGGCGAACAGGUUACAGAGGAGGCAAUUUUACGUUUUGUGUCCCUGUUUGAGGGAAGGCUGCUAGACAUAACGAUCGCGGUGCUACGUGCCCUGUUCAAGCUGGACUGUGACUUGGCGGCGGCGGUGGAGGAUGCCUUGCUGCAACAUGGGGGAGAAGGUUGCCCCGAGAUGCCAUCCGCCGCAGGCGAGGAUGCCUUGGAGACGACCUGAUCAUCUCGGUUCCAAGGAGAUUGAUGUAGCCCAGUUCUUAUGUUAAGCAAAUAUAACCUUGUGCGUCCGUUUGUAGCUACUGCUGUGUGCUGUUACUUGUCACUGCCCUGGUGCGGCCUUGUUGUUAACUGCUGGAGUGAUGCUCGUGUUUGUAAGAGGUGUCCUAGUUUCCCCAAUGAGUAGCAUCAAUUUAAGUCUGUUGAACUGGAAUGUUCGUGGA